rnacentral:rRNA from 1 species
AACGAACGCUGGCGGCAUGCCUAACACAUGCAAGUCGAACGAGACCUUCGGGUCUAGUGGCGCACGGGUGCGUAACGCGUGGGAACCUGCCCUUAGGUUCGGAAUAACUCCCCGAAAGGGGUGCUAAUACCGGAUAAUGUCUUCGGACCAAAGAUUUAUCGCCUUUGGAUGGGCCCGCGUUGGAUUAGCUGGUUGGUAGGGUAAAAGCCUACCAAGGCGACGAUCCAUAGCUGGUCUGAGAGGAUGAUCAGCCACACUGGGACUGAGACACGGCCCAGACUCCUACGGGAGGCAGCAGUGGGGGAUAUUGGACAAUGGGCGAAAGCCUGAUCCAGCAAUGCCGCGUGAGUGAUGAAGGCCUUAGGGUUGUAAAGCUCUUUUACCCGGGAUGAUAAUGACAGUACCGGGAGAAUAAGCUCCGGCUAACUCCGUG